ensembl:lncRNA TEC
GAUAUCAUUUGAGGUUAAGUGUAAUUAAGACAGCAACUUUAAUGAAAUGACAAUUUUUGAAAUUUACUGUUCUUAAAAAAAUUAGUACAGCAACGAUAUUAAUUCUAGUAUAAUUGUUGGAGGAACUGUCUUACAGUCAGUGCUGAAAUGCCUGCUAAUCUUGUUAUCAAAUAAGAAUUCUAAAUUUUAUCAAUACCCACUUUAUGAGCAAUUUCAGCAUUAAUUAGAUUAAAAAAUGUUUAUUGUGUGUCUGCUAUGUGUGAGGCAUUGCUUGCCUCAUUUAGCAACAAAAUAAUUAGCUCGUGUUAUAUUUGAGAAAUCUGAAUUAUAGGGAAGUGUAUUCUAGAUAUAGAUCAUGUCUUUUAGGACCAUUUAAAUCUAAUAUUUAUUGCACUUGUGCCAAUUUUCAAGUUCUCCAAGUUGUUGAGAUUAUUGCCAAUAAGAAUACUGUCUUUGUUCCAGGGCAUGAACGUUUGGAUGCUAAGUGUCAGGGUUCAUCUAAGGUAAGAAGUAGGCUUUGAAGUUGCCUGAUGUGUUACUUGAUUUCUUCUUUAAAAAAAUUUAAUUUUUUUUAGAGACAGGGUCUAGCUCUGUUACCCAGGCUGGAAUGCAGUGGUGCAAUCUCAGCUCACUGUAAAACUGCCAGGCUCGAGCAAUCUUCCUGCCUUAUCCUCCCGACUACUAGUGUGCCAUUUGAAUUGUCUUCCUAACAACUGAUGUGGCAAAGAAUCUAAGAUCAUGUUCUCUCAAUGCACCACACACAUGACAAUAUUUCAUCCCCACUGUUAGUUAUAUGGACUCCCAGAAAUAAAGUUUACCUUACUGAACAAGUUUUCUUUCUUUGAGUUGAGAAGUCUCCAUUAGAGAUUAGGUAUCCAGGAGGAUUUGGGUCAAAGCAGCAGAGGAUGAGCUCCAGUAGCAUUGAGAGAGAGGCCUCAAAUCUGAUUGCAUAUUAGAAUUAUCUGGGGCAGGUUUAUAAUUGCCAGUGCCUGGGCCUCUCCCAGAAUAAUUAAAUGAAAAUCUCUGGGAUUGGGGCCCAGGUGCUGGUAUUUUUAAAAAGCCACCAGGUGAUCCUAAUGUGUUCCCAAGGUUCAGAACUAGUGAUCUAUGUAAUAGCUAGAAUUUCUUAGUUUAGGCAAUUAAUGUAAAGGUGUUUUCAAAUAGUGCCUUUUCAAGAGGCAUGUUGUGAAACACUGUAUUUAUGUUAUCAAGUGGCUCACCAAAAUAAUGAGAACAUUUUUAGAUUGAUGCUUGGAUAACUACGGUAGCAGUUACAUAAUUUUCCAAAUACCUAAUAGGACUGCACUAUGAUAGUUAGCUGGAUGUUCCUUGAGCUGUAAAACAGGGUACAAAGACAAUCGUUUUCAUUUUUUAUUGGAGUUUGAUUAAUAUUCUCUCUGGGUCGAUGCGACCUUGGAAUUAAACAGUGAGGAUUGCAUGGUCCAUUUGCCAGGAUCUACAUAUUUUAUCUUUAAUUCUCCCAAUUAUGAAGGCCUGGCUAAGACUUCUGCUUGGAUCCUAAAUGAGGCACUCAUCAUAAUCUUGUCCUUCCAUUGGUGCAUGGUUUAUCACACACACAAAAACUCACCUAACUUUAAAAGGAGGUGAAGAGGACAUAUGCAGGGAGGACAUUGGGGUUUUUAUUCCAAGAUAAGUGAGUUGUACCAUCUGUGGACAGGCAUAGCAGUAAGUGGAAUAUUACUUGAAGCAUUUUAUCAGAACCUCUUUGCUACAGUUUGGAUGUUUGUUCCCUCCAAAGCUCAUGUUGAAAUUUGGUUGCCAUUGUAAUAGUAUUGAGACACAGUAUCUUUAACAGGUGAUUAGGCCAUGAAGGCUCCACUCUUGUGGGUGGGUUUAACGCCUUUAAAAAAUGGCUCUGGGAGUGGGCUCUGUCUCUCCCAUGUGUUUUCUUGCCCUUUGCUUUUCUGCCAUUGAAUGCCGCAGAUAGAAGGCCCUCACCAGAUGCGAGUCCCUCAGCCUUGGACUUCCAGCUUCCAGAACUGUAAGAAACAAAUUUAUUUUCCUUGUAAAUUACCCAGUCUCAGGUAGUCUGUUUAGCAGCAGCAAACAGACUAAGACAUUCUACCAUCAGAUUUGUGUUUCCCCAAUGACAUUGGAGUUCAAGGUCCAUUAGUGAGAUAUGGACAGGUACAGUGUGUUAGUGCAGAUGAACUAUUCAAUCUCAUUUUGGAGGGUUUCCAUCAUAAAACACAAAUGAUUUAGUCAAAGCAGCAUCUUCUGAAUUUCUUAGCUGACUUAUAAAAACAAAUAAGCCACUUUCUGUCUUUAUUAUUUUCUUCCCAGGAAGGGAGCUUUACAGUCAUGAGGGUAGUAAAUAAGUAUUACUUUUUAAAGAAGCUCUGGAGCUAUGGGGAUUUAAUAAAUAGUUCAUUGCUUCCCUAUCUCCACCAAAAUCUCUUCACUCUAACUGCAGCCUUGAAACCCAAGUGUUCGGGUUUGGACUUUUUUUUUUUUCUUUUGAGACACAGCGUCACUCUUGCCCAGGUUGGAAUACAGUGGUACGAUCUCGACUCAUUGCAACCUCUGCCUCCUGGGUUCAAGCGAUUCUCCUGCUCCAGUCUCCGGAGUAUAGCUGGGACUACAAGCACCUGCCACCACUUGCCCAGCUAAUUUUUGUAUUUUCAGUAGAGAUGGGGUUUCACCAUGUUGCUCAGGCUAGUCUUGAACUCCUAGCCUCAAGUGAUUCACCCACCUCAAUCUCCCAAAGUGCUGGGAUUACAGGCGUGAUCCACCGCUCCUAUCUAGGUUUUGGACUUUUAAUCUACCUCUUCUUAAUACCCUUCCCUCUUCUCUAAAAGCAAGAUAUAUUUAUAGCCUAUUUAUUACUUUGGGAUCAACUUCAAAUGUUUAUUUUUGGAUAAGAUGAGUGAGUUACAAAACUAGCAACCUGCAAAGUGUUUGAAAGUUUAACUGCUAUUUUUUCGGUUAUCCAUUCACCCAUUCAAUGAAUAUUAUUGAGGUGCUACUAUGUGCCAGGCACUUCUAGACAUGGUGGGGAUAUUAUAGUAAAUGGAACAGAUGGCAAUCCUUGCACACAUGGAAUAGUGAGGGAAAGAAAGUCACAGAGGCUGACACCAAUCACAAAUGGAAAAUGAUACAAGGUGUGUUAAGGGUUUUAAAAGAAAAAUGACAUAAAAAAUAUACAAAAACUUGACUCGGAAAUUGUACUUAAGAAAUAUAUCGUAAGGAAAUAAUUAUGUGCCCAAAUAUGCACGUACUAAAAUAUUCACUAUAUUUUUUAGCACAACAUUGAAAAGAAGAACUAGUUAAAUAAAGUUAAGGACUGAUUAAGGACUAGUUAAAUUAGAUGCUGCAGUCAUGUGUCGAAUGACAUAGAAAGAUGCUUACAAUACAUUAAAUGAAAAUUGCUGGUUUCAAAAUUGUAUGAUAUGAUUCCUCUAAAAGAGUAGUUUUCAAGCAGGAGUGAUUUUUGCCUCUGAGGGGCCAUUUGUGAAUGUCUGGAGACCCUUUAGGUUGUUACAAGCAGGGUGGAGGUUGGUGCUACUGGCCUUUAGUGAUUAGCAGUCAGGCAUGCCGCUGAACAUCCUGCAAUGCACAGGACAGCCCCCUACCACAAGUAAUUAUUUGGCUCAAAACGUCAGUAGUACUGAGAUUUAGAAAUCCUGCUUUUAAACAAUUACAAAUACCAUUGCAAGGACAAAUAUUUUCUGAAUAAAUAGCAUUAUGGAUGUUUUAAAUGUUAUUUUUCUUUGUGUGUUAAUUCAGAUGUUGCUUUAAAUGAGAAGUACUGACUUUGUAAUUAAAAACAAAAACUAUUUUAAAAUGUGCUAAAUUUUGGACCUAUCUCAGCCUGAGAAGGUUUUUUUCUAAAAAGGUUCAGGCAUCUUUUUAUUUUCCUACUGCUCUCCUUACCUGUGCACACCUCAUUGCCUGUAUCUGUGAUGCCUCUAUUUGGAGGGAACCUGGGUUAUGCCUGGGCCUGGUUUACUCCCAUAACAUGGGUUGCUGUACUUGCCCACUUAAUUGUGAGCUCUAUCCAUCCAGGAAAGUAAUCUGUUCCUUAUUUUGAAUAGCGUGUUCUUAGAAGUUCAUGGGUUCUAAUUGAAGGAAACUAGAGGGACCCCUUCCAUCCUUCAGCAAGGGUCCCCAAAGAUAGGCAGGGUGCCCAGAGAAUGCCUCAACUGCUGAGAACUCCACCCUUUCAGGUCCAGUGCAGGCUCAUCUCCAGAAAAGCUGGGUUAGAGUUGUCUCACUGUUUGGGUUGGAAUAUUGUGAUUUCUAGGAGUGGAAAUGCACUUGCUAAUUUAGCUAUCUCCUCUUUAUAAGACGCUCAUGGAAAUAAAGAUUAGCCAUAAAAUACCUUUAAUGAGCUUCCAAAUUUUAUCUGCAAGGAACCCAGGGCCUGUGGCAUUAUACUGGUUUGUAGAAGACUCCUGUGGUGUCUGCAGAAACUUUCUCUGGUGAAUAUCUAGAAUUUCCAUUACUUUGAAUGUGUACAUGUUAUUAAUCAAGGAAUUAAUCAUCCCCAUUCUCUUUGAUUGAAAGUCACAUUACCUUGGAAGGACAAGGUGUUGUCAAAUGGGCAAGGCAGAUCAUAUGUUUUCUUUUACUGGACUCCUUAUUUUUCUAAUUACAGCCUGUGUAUCCUGUGCUAGAGAGCCUCUUGAAAUUAACUUAAUUUACUAUCACACUUGUAACAUACCCAUUUAUUUGGGCCUGUGAAUAUGUGUGCACUCCAUUUGAUUACAUCUAAUGUUCUCCCUAAAUAAAGAGUACAAUUAAUUCAUUAGAGGAUGGUUUGUUUCCAGGGGUAAGUGCCAGUUUAUGAUGAUUCCAUCAACACUUGCACCACAUUAAUUUAUUUCCAAUUUAAUCAGUGUUUAAAUUGAACUGGGAUCAGGCAGAACAAAACACAUGGUUUUGCAUAAUUAUAAUGGAGCAAAUGGAAAUAGUCAUAGCACUUCAGCAUUAGAAACCUCACUGCAGAAGCACAGAUGGGUUAGGAGAUGUUGAUUAAAAAAGAUGUCUAGGAAUAAAUCCUCUGUAAGCACUGUAUUAAAAUCCAAGUGCCUGCAGGACAAGCGACUUUGCAUUAAUUACUAAAAAAUUUCUUAUUCUGGGUAUAGCUUUCUGUAGAAAUCCUACAGAUUGAGUAAACUGUGGAGGCACUCCUUUUCAUGCUCCAUUUAACUUAAAUUAUUAGCUGGUUCAGAAAGUUGUUUCUUCCCAGACUUGUCUAGGAAGUUCAAUAUUUAGCAAUUACCCCUUUGUGCUUCUCGAACCUUCUCCAAGCCAGUGUCGUUGAAGGACAGAUUUGCCAUGUGGGAAGGUGGGCUACCUUGGAAAACAGAUUUUUGGUUCGGAGCUUGUCUGAAACUCU